CUUUUGUUGUGCAGGUACAGUUUAGCAUCAAACGUCACAACAGCAUACAUAGAUAGAUAUACACAGGAUAGACAGUGCAAUGAAACCAUUUUUUUUUUCAGGAAGGCUGUGUCAGUCACAGCCAGGGGAGGUGUGGCUAAGGCUGCAUAACCAGAACAAAAGUGAUUUAACUCCUAACUGGCAGAUAAUUAAACAGUGAAAUUACAGGGACAUGGUCUAUAAACCAGAACUGCUUUAUUAAGUUGUUUUGGCGACCAUACUCUUUAAAUCCAGAUCUGCAACAUUGCAAUCACAAAAGAUAAAGAAUGUAGAGAUAAUGUGGACCACUAGUAGGUUUGCUUUAUGUAAUACAUGAGAUUCACAACACCUACAGUGACAAUGGAAAUGUCUAUUUGACUUCUUUCCUUAGGUCAAUGACUCUCAACUCAGACCCUGUCUGCAAAUAUCACAGUACUCUCAAAAGAUUGCCAAGAUGUUGAGCAGUGUGCACGCU